GAGACAGCAGUCGCCGCGGGAAUACGUAUGUCGCGAGCGUUAUCCGGAAUUAUUGGGCAUAAAGGGCAUCUAGGCGGCACGACAAGUCGGGGGUGAAAACUUGCGGCUCAACUGCAAGCUUGCCUUUGAAACUGUAGUGCUAGAGUAUUGGAAAGGUGGGCGGAACUACACGAGUAGAGGUGAAAUCCGUAGAUAUGUGUAGGAAUGCCGAUGAUGAAGAUAGCUCACUGGACGAUAACUGACGCUGAAGUGCGAAAGCUAGGGGAGCGAACAGGAUUAGAUACCCCUGUAGUCCCUGUCUCUUAUAC
rnacentral:rRNA from 1 species